UGGGGAAUAUUGGACAAUGGGCGCAAGCCUGAUCCAGCAAUGCCGCGUGUGUGAAGAAGGCCUGCGGGUUGUAAAGCACUUUCAGUUGGGAGGAAGGACUUGUGUUUAAUAAACAUGAGUAUUGACGUUACCGACAGAAGAAGCACCGGCUAACUCUGUGCCAGCAGCCGCGGUAAUACAGAGGGUGCGAGCGUUAAUCGGAAUUACUGGGCGUAAAGGGUGCGUAGGUGGUCUUUUAAGUCAGAUGUGAAAACCCUGGGCUCAACCUAGGAAUGGCAUUUGAUACUGGAAGACUAGAGUUCGGAAGAGGAAAGUGGAAUUUCAGGUGUAGCGGUGAAAUGCGUAGAUAUCUGAAGGAACAUCAGUGGCGAAGGCGACUUUCUGGUCCGAUACUGACACUGAGGCACGAAAGCGUGGGGAGCAAACAGG
rnacentral:rRNA from 1 species